CCGACGCACAUCACUUCCGCUAUCGUGAUAAUGUGACGGUUUCGAGUCCCCUCGUCCACAACAAAGACGAAAAACAUAUAACGUUAAUUAAGAUGUAUUUUAUAGUCUGACCGCGCCAAGUCUUACUUGGGGACAGGAAGAGGUUAAUAGGUGGAGGACUGACCGCAUCCCAUCACUGACGCAUCUGUAAAGUAUGCAAGUGGCAGAGAACAUCAGUUUUCAACUGUAAGCGUUGAAUAAACUAUCUGUGCAUCGAGACAGAAAGUAUUUAUGUAAUACUAAUGCGGUAUAAAUGGUCUCCGUUUAUUAAAAUUCUGUCUGUAAA